ACGGGGAGCACCACAACAGGUGGAGCCUGCGGUUAAUCGGACUCAACGCCGGGAAACUCACCAGAUAAGACAGCUGAAUGAUAGUCGGGCUGAAGACUCUACUUGACUAGCUGAGAGGAGGUGCAUGGCCGUCGUCAGUUCGUACUGUGAAGCAUCCUGUUAAGUCAGGCAACGAGCGAGACCCACGCCAACAGUUGCCAGCUCGUCCUCCGGGAUGGUGGGGGACACUGUUGGGACCGCCUCUGCUAAAGAGGAGGAAGGAAUGGGCAACGGUAGGUCAGCAUGCCCCGAAUUAUCUGGGCUACACGCGGGCUACAAUGGGUGGGACAAUGGGUAUCGACACCGAAAGGUGAAGGCAAUCUCCUAAACCCAUCCGUAGUUCGGAUUGUGGGCUGCAACUCGCCCACAUGAAGCUGGAAUCUGUAGUAAUCGUGUCUCAAAAUGGCACGGUGAAUAUGUCCCUGCUCCUU
rnacentral:rRNA from 1 species